rnacentral:rRNA from 1 species
AUGGAGAUGGUGGCCGUCAAGGAGGAGGAGAGGAGGGAGGAGGCGAUGGAGGUGGAGCCGGUGGCCGCAUUCCACCCCGGUCUGGUGGGCCAGCAAUGGAGCUGGUCGUGCACCGCGCCGGAGAUGGCCGACGCCGUGGGGGGCGUGAACUGGUGCCCCACGCCGCCGUGGUCACCGAAGCGGGAGGCGUCGCCACGAGAGGAGGUCGUGCAGGCACCUCCCGCCGUCCAGCCCGCCCCCGUCUACCACGCACUGCCGACCCACCUCUGGACGCCGCCGGCCUACGUGGACCUCGUCAGCGACGACGACGACGCCGGCGGCCACUGA